UACGUAGGGGGCAAGCGUUGUCCGGAAUCAUUGGGCGUAAAGCGCGUGUAGGCGGCCAGAAAAGUCCGCUGUGAAAACUCGAGGCUCAACUUCGAGCUGUCGGUGGAAACUUUCUGGCUAGAGUCCGGAAGAGGAGAAUGGAAUUCCUGGUGUAGCGGUGAAAUGCGCAGAUAUCAGGAAGAACACCCGUGGCGAAGGCGGUUCUCUGGGACGGUACUGACGCUGAGACGCGAAGGCGUGGGGAGCGAACAGG
rnacentral:rRNA from 1 species